AACGUAGGACGCAAGCGUUAUCCGGAUUUACUGGGCGUAAAGCGCGGGCAGGCGGUCUUGCCAGUCUGAUGUGAAAUCUCUCAGCUCAACUGGGAGCAGCCAUUGGAAACUACAAGACUGGAGUCUGACAGAGGUAGGCGGAAUUCCGGGUGGAGUGGUGAAAUGCGUAGAGAUCCGGAGGAACACCAGAGGCGAAGGCGGCCUACUGGGUCAGUACUGACGCUGAGCCGCGAAAGCCAGGGGAGCGAACGGG
rnacentral:rRNA from 1 species